AACGUAGGUGGCGAGCGUUAUCCGGAUUUACUGGGCGUAAAGCGUGUGCAGGCGGGGGUCCAAGUGGGGUAUGAAAUUUCCCAGCUUAACUGGGAGAGGUUAUGCCAGACUGGAGUUCUAGAGUGCGAGAGAGGGGCGUGGAAUUCCGGGUGUAGCAGUGAAAUGCGUAGAGAUGCGGAGGAACACCGAUGGCGAAGGCAGCCCCCUGGGCUGACACUGACGCUCAGGCACGAAAGCGUGGGGAGCAAACAGG
rnacentral:rRNA from 1 species